ensembl:lncRNA
CCGGAAGGAAAUUUCCGCCCACGCUUCACCUGGACGCAGAUGAGCUUGUCCAGGAUGCCCAGCAGAUGGCGCAGUUGUUCUCUUUAUCUUCCCGCCUUGGCCUACUAAAGAAGACAAAGACCAGGGCGUUGUGGUGAUGAUCUCGGCAAGACGCCCUGCUGGGUAAACCGUGCCAUAGACCGGGACUCCUCGUCCGAUCUGCUCUGAGAAGAGGCUUCCUGGGUCGGGGUCAGACGCGGGCGGCGAGGACCCGCGGUCCCGGUCGUCUCUCAUCUGGCUCCUUCUCAAGGCCUCCUGACUGGUCUCCCUGCCUCCAGACUUGCCAUCCCUCUCUUCUGGCUCUAACCUUUCUCUCACUGCUGCACGUGUCUUCCGACUGGAAUCUCAUGUCAGCCCCUUGCCUGAAGUACCUAAGUGGAUCCUUCAUGCCCUCAGAAUAGACUGAACUUAGAAAAAUGGGAUUCAGUGUCCCUCCUAACAUGAUUUCUGCCUACAUUUUCGUCUCUUGAAACAACGUUAAAGAAACAGGCUUACUUCUGAGUGGAGAGUGUGAAGUCUGAGGACUGGAAGGAUCACAGGUUUAGGGUGACAUCUCUGGACAGCCUGGAGUACCAAGAACAGAAGUGGGGUUUCCCAUUUCUGGGAUUGGUGGCCAGCAUUGUUCAUUCCCUGACCUGCCUCUCCUGCAGGGCCGGAUCUGGGGCUUGCUCACUGUUUGGUCCCCAGCACCUGGGACAGUGCCUGCACUUACAGAUGCUUGGUGAUAAACUGGACUUGUUCGACACUAUAUUACCCUCAAGGAUACAGUGACCUGCGUAUAUGCUAUGCUCAACAAGUAGCUGUUACAUGAAUGCACUGAAUGAAUGGAAGAUCCAUCACUGCCCUGCUUUUAGUCUCUGUAACUCCAAGUGACACCAUUAGAGUUUCUUCUCAACCUCACCUGUGC